rnacentral:piRNA from 1 species
CUUUUUUUGUUUCAUGGUUGGAAUUG